GGAGAAGAAAGUUUAGAAAGGUUUUAUGAGACCUUCCAUGGAACAGACAUUAGCAUCCAGUAUUUGGUGACUGUAGAUUUAAUGAGAGGGUACCUCCAUAAAUCAUUAUCUACAACAAUGGAAUUUAUAGUUGAAAGCGAUAAAGCUGAUCUUCUUGAGCAAUCAGUUUCUUCCGAGAUGGCUAUAUUUUACAUUACCCAAGACACUCAGAGACAUCCACUGCUUCCCGAAUUAAAGUCAGGUGGUUUUCGGGUGACUGGAAGGAUAUCCACUCAAUGUUCCUUGUUGGAUCCUAUUAGUGGAGAGCUAACGGUAGAAAGAUCUGCAGUUCCCAUUUGCUCUAUUGACAUUCACUUGCUUCGAGUAGAGUCAGUUCUCCUUGGAGAGAAAAUUGUGACUGAAACCUCGUUGAUUCAGACCACACAGAUAGCUGAUGGAGAUGUCUGUUACAGUAUGACUUUGCCCAUCUAUGUUAUCCUGCCCCGUCUUUUGACUUGUCCAACUGUCUUAGCUGGUCCAUUUUCAAUUGAGUUCAAAGUGUCCAUUGUUAUCAGCUUUCAGUCAGAACUGUCCAAGUUGCAUACAAAAUCUGAUCCAAGAACUCCAAGACUCUGGCUGGCAAUGGAAACUUUACCGCUGGAACUUGUCCGUACAAAGUGAGGAGCUCUAUAUGAAGGCAAUAAUUUUUGGAUAACUUUGUACAUGAUUUUUCUAAAUUCCUCAAGUACAAUGAUAACAAUGCAAGUACAGCAUUAACUGAAUUUUCUGGGUUUUUUUGUGAUCAGCUUAUGCUUCCUCUCAUCUGAAAUAUGUUUACAAGAAAAGAAUUUAACUUUAUUGUGAAUAUAUAACUCUACUU
rnacentral:misc_RNA from 1 species